GCACAAGCAGUGGAGUAUGUGGUUUAAUUCGACGCAACGCGAAGAACCUUACCAGGUCUUGACAUCCGAUGCAUAGUGCAGAGAUGCAUGAAGUCCUUCGGGACAUCGAGACAGGUGGUGCAUGGUUGUCGUCAGCUCGUGUCGUGAGAUGUUGGGUUAAGUCCCGCAACGAGCGCAACCCUUAUUGCCAGUUACUACGCAAGAGGACUCUGGCGAGACUGCCGUUGACAAAA
rnacentral:rRNA from 1 species